UUGUAGUUCAAACAUUGUUCAUUCACUCCGCCUCGAGUUGAGACGUUCGUCCACUCAUUCAUAGCGACUCCUGACUCGCUGCACACCAACUGGACCACACAGCCGUAACAGAUGAAGCCGUCGCUCAGCACGAAGUCGCCGUGCGUCUCUUGUAUCAGGGUUGGGAGGAGCUACC